UCCCUCUGAGCUCAGUGGUAGAGCGCAUCACUCGUAUGUAUCGGACAAUUGAGUUCUAUGAUGAGGUCAGUCGUUCAAUCCGGCUAGCGGGAA